rnacentral:rRNA from 1 species
UACGGGGGGGGCAAGCGUUGUUCGGAAUUACUGGGCGUAAAGGGCUCGUAGGCGGCCAACUAAGUCAGACGUGAAAUCCCUCGGCUUAACCGGGGAACUGCGUCUGAUACUGGAUGGCUAGAGUUUGGGAGAGGGAUGCGGAAUUCCAGGUGUAGCGGUGAAAUGCGUAGAUAUUCGGAGGAACACCAGUGGCGAAGGCGGCUCACUGGCUCGGUACUGACACUGAGGCACGAAGGCCAGGGGAGCAAACGGG